AGCGAGCCACCCGCGCCGCGUGGAGCGCUUCGCCCAGGUCGCGGCGCAGGGGCCUGGGCAGAGCGGGGAGGUCGGCGGCCAGGGACGUCUCUCAGCUGGCAGUGCCUGGGAGGCUGCUCGGGGCGGGUGUCCGGGUCCUGCGGCGGGCGGCUGGAUGGCGAGCGGAGACGGGAGGCCUGGGCUUGGGCAGCGGUGGCGGUGUCCUGGCCCCGACGGUGACGGAGGGCUUUGAUGAGGCCCGGCGGCCGCGUGCUUGCCAGGAAGGCCCGGGGCUUGAGGCCCUGGAAGGCCUGGCCCGUUCAGGAGUCCCGGCUGUUUGGGGAAUGUCCCACGCCCUGUGGGGAUUUGAGCCGUGUCUCCCGGCCGACUUGGGUGUCCCGGUUGGUGUGUGGUCGGGCCUGGGACGGGCUGGUGCGGGCGGAAACCGCCGGGUAGCGACCACGUCUCGUCAGGGGGUUCGUGCCUGCUGCUGGGCACGGGAACGGCUCCGGGGGGGUCUUACGGGCGCUGAGGGGAUUCCGCAUCAUGGAGAGGUCAAGGGGAGUUGGUGGCCGUCACCCUUCGUCAGGGCAGGGUGGCAUCAGUGCUCCCGUGCUGGGGUUCCUGGAGAGCCGGCUGGCACGGACAGACUCUUGUGAGGGCAAGUGGCUGAUCGUGCGUCGGAUGGGUCCAGCAAAGGAGAGAAAGCUUCGGUGCGCGCGCGCUCGCCAGGGAAAGGGUGACAGCGGGUGGGACCGAGAGGGAGAGAGAGAGAGGGAGAGAACAAAGGAAGAGAGAGGGUUUCCGCAGGGGCGGUGAGUCCUGGCGGAAGUCCUGAGGCAGAGGAGGUGCCAGGGGUUUGGGUUUCCCGGUCGUGUCGGGGGUGUGGCGCAGGUUGCCCCAGUGGGCCUGAAUGUGCCUCCGUGGGGCACCUUGUUGCCGUGUUGGGGGGCGGGGAGCCGGCCUUGGGGAUCCAUCUUUCGGGCCCUGGGACGUGGGAGAAGAAUGCCGGGGCCUCUCUCUGUGCCCCUGGCACGCCUCUGUGCAGGCCGGGCCUGCACCACCCCCCGCGCCCGUCCCCCAGGCAGGGUCCGUGUGGCUGCAGACACCCAGAGAGGGGAGGCUGGGGAGGCUGGGGAGCCGUGGCAGCCCGAUGCAGUGCGGGUCUCCAGGUGGAGGGGCCCUGGUCCCCUGGCGCCAGCGUGGCCCUUCCUCCUUGUGGAAACCCUUGUGGUGUGUGUGCUCUCUCGCCCUGACCCAGGAGAGCAGCAUGGCGGACCCCUGAUCUUGUGGCGUGCCACCGCGCGAGGCCGAGGAGCUCCCGCAGCCCAGUGGGCGUGGCGUCCUUGUCGCGGCUCUGUGGAGACCUGGCGAUGGAGAGCAGCAUGGCGGACCCCUGAUCUUGUGGCGUGCCACCGCGCGAGGCCGAGGAGCUCCCGCAGCCCAGUGGGCGUGGCGUCCUUGUCGCGGCUCUGUGGAGACCUGGCGAUGGUGAGCGGCCCCUGUCCUCAGUGGUGGAGAACUCGCCCUUGGGGCGCUCGUCUGUCCGGAGCCCCGGGCCAGCCCCGCUUCUCGCGGGCUUUGGCCCCGGCAGGCCAGCUCCGGGGGCGUGAGGGGGAGCGUCCCGUCCUGCCCAGUGGCUCGUCUGUCUGGGCACGCCCCCAAACGCUGCCGUGAUGGAGCGGGUGGGAUGUCCAGGUGCGGAGGCCGUGAAUUUGCCUUGCGGCGGCGGAGCCCGUGCUCGGAUCGAUGAUGACUCCCUCUAAAGCAUUCCUUGGAAAUCUGAACAAAAUGAGUGAGAACUCACUACCGUCUCCUCAUCGAAACUGAGGUCCGGCACGUGGCGGCCACCGGGGGCUCGGGGGUAGAUGGGCCCUUGGCCUUGGGGCCUCUGUGUGUCAGCAGCCACUCGGGUGAGGUCUGGGGAAGGCGGCCGCCUGCCGGGCCCAGGAAGCAUGGGGCCCGUCGCCCGGCGCUGGCCUCGGGGGCGAGGCCGCGUGCCCGAGCGUGCUGGAGAUCCCGGGCGGCCUCCCGCCGGCCUUGGGGGGUUUCGCAAGCCGUCGCGGGGGCCGAAAUUUGGGCCCGGCCCGCGAGGCAAGUGUGCGGCCCUAGGGCCCCAGGGGGCGUCCUGGCCCAGGCCGGGCGCCCUUCUCAGGAUGCUGUGGGGAGACGGGAUCCCGGCAGGGUAGUGUUCUCUUUCUGCUCUGGGGACCCCUGAGGGCCACCUGCUGCAGGGGGUCUGUGGUAGCGGGGGCCCUUGGAUCAGGGCCGUCCCCCAUGGGCGAGGGGGGAGCCUGGGAACCCCUGAGGGCGCUCCCCUGGGACGUCCAGGGAUGUUGGGGCGGAGGCUGGGGCUGGGUGGCGAGAAGGGGGCAGCUGAAGUGGUGAGCGACAGGCGGGCAGAGGGAGCCUGCCGGGGACGUGGGUGGACAGGCCCACGUCUGGAUGGGCGGGGCUCUGGAGGAGGUGCCCUGGCCUCAAGUGGGAUGGCGUCAGCGGCUGUGGGAGGCCCGGGUAGGCAAGGACCGCGCGGGCAGGGGCGGGGACGGUCUUGCAUGUGGCCUCUCCUCUGGGAGGCGUGGCUCCCCGUGGGGGUCUGGGGAAGGCAGCCGCCAGGUCCCUGGGCCGCGGCGCGACCGCACCUUGGGGGGGUCCUUUGGGAGGCCACGGGUCGGAG
ensembl:lncRNA